rnacentral:lncRNA from 12 species
GGGCGGGGUGCGGGAUACCUUCUGGGUGCCCCUGUGUUCUCGGCUCUGAUGGUGAAGCGAGGCCCAGACUUUGGAGGCUUUGGAUCUGGGCAGCCUGGCCCCAGAGUUGGCCACGCUUUGCUGUCUCCUCUCAAAACUGAUCCAAGCAGAAUGGGUUUCAAUUUCCCAAAGGACCCGCGAUCGUCCAAGGAGGGUUGGAAUAAAGGAGGUAAAGAUGGAAGCAGAGAAGAAAGAAGGUUAAUGGGUCGCAAACAGAGACCUGUUGGAGAGACCCUUGAGGGUCUCAGGAUCUUGGCUCUCUUUUGAUUCGUGUAAAAAGGAGGACGUCUGAGCACCUUCGCUGGAAUUGGCCCUCCAGGACUCACCCUCGCUCCCCAGUGACUUCCAGACCUUUCAGUGAAGGAUUCUGUGCGCCCCUCCUGGAUUCCUGGGACUAGGCUGGCAGAGACUGACACCCGGGGCCGUCGAGUCCCGUUCUGGGUCCCAGUUUGGUAGAGGAAACUUGGAGAGGCAGGGCUUCCGAUGGCCCUGCAGGAGCCUGGGCCUACCUGCCACAUUCCAUUCUUCAGGUCUUAAAAGCCUCCUAUUCUUUUACAAAUCACUGGUUCAGGCCUAAAUUAUCCAGAUAAUUGAGCCGCCUGGCCCGUCACUUUGUUGGCAUAGACACCAUUUAUGUGUAAUCUGAGAAUAUUCUAUCUGCUGCCGAGUUUCUUCCAAAGGCAUUAUUUCUAACCUUCUUUAAGAACAAAUUUCCGGUUGCCAUGGAGAUCAUUUUUAGGCUAAUUUUAUCGGGCGCAGGAGCCAGGGCUGGAAGCAGCUCUCGCACGUUUCUCAAAUUGUCUACUCUGGAGAGUCCUGAGGUUGUCUUUGUCCAAGAGGCUCCCCGACCUCAACGUCCUUUGAACCAGACAAGUCCGGUGAUAGUCACGUUUUGGUUCAGAAUGUUAAAAGCCCUGACAUCAAUUGUCUAGGUAUUUUUGAUUCGUUUUAAUGGGAAAACACUUCAAGAUGUGUGUGUGUUGGGGGGGAGGGGGGAGUCUCAGUUUUAUAAAUACGUGCUUUCUGAAACCUGCUUGUGAACAAACUGUUAAAAUGAGAGCUUUCCGAGCUAGAAAAGACUAGAAAAUUCAGAAAGCGUCAAAGGCAUUUCAUAAGCACCAAACCUGGCCCCCGCUGAGGUGCGCGAGGGGAAGCCGAGGAAUAGGACAUGAAAUCUGCCUCCAGGAAGUUGCAAUCUGGUGAGAAUUGAAUUGCUUUAGAGCUGGGAGGGCCCCUCAAGGAUCAUGCCUGUUAAUAGGCUCAUUUU